rnacentral:rRNA from 1 species
GCAGCCGCGGUAAUACGUAGGGAGCGAGCGUUGUCCGGAAUUACUGGGUGUAAAGGGUGCGUAGGCGGGUAUGCAAGUCAUAUGUGAAAUACCGAGGCUCAACUUCGGAACUGCAUAAGAAACUGCAUAUCUUGAGUGCAGGAGAGGUAAGCGGAAUUCCUAGUGUAGCGGUGAAAUGCGUAGAUAUUAGGAGGAACACCAGUGGCGAAGGCGGCUUACUGGACUGUAACUGACGCUGAGGCACGAAAGCGUGGGGAGCAAACAGGAUUAGAUACCCC